rnacentral:lncRNA from 1 species
AGCAAAGCUGCGGACGGCGAGAGAGGCUCCGUCGGACUGCAUGUGCCCCCCAGGUUUUGCUCUCAGACCCGCUGAGGACCCUUAACUCUGAAUUUCCCGACUGCUCUAUGAUGCAUCUGCCCGUCUCCGUGUCGAAUGCGUGCUGAGAUGGUGUCUCACGCUUUUGAACCUGCAUCUUUACAGCUUUUGGAAAAAUGCCGUUGCGCAUCUUUUUGAGCAUAAAAAUUACUGCCAGCUCCGUCCCGUCAGCUCCUUCCUGGCUACCACUCCUCGGUCCCUUUGGAUGUUAGCG